CCCCGUAGUCCCAGCUGUAAACGAUGCGGGCUAGGUGUUGGGCGGACUUCGAGUCCGCCCAGUGCCGUAGGGAAACCAUUAAGCCCGCCGCCUGGGGAGUACGGCCGCAAGGCUGAAACUUAGAGGAAUUGGCGGGGGAGCACCACAAGGGGUGAAUGCUGCGGUUUAAUUGGAGUCAACGCCGGGAACCUUACCGGGGGCGACAGCAGGAUGACGGCCAGGCUGACGACCUUGCCAGACGCGCUGAGAGGAGGUACAUCGCCGUCGCCAGUUCGUGCCGUGAGGUGUCCGGUUAAGUUCGGCAACGAACGAGACCCCCACCCCCAGUUGCUACCGCACCCCUGCGGGGGUACGGGCACUCUGGGGGGACUGCCGGCGCUGAGCCGGAGGAAGGAGGGGGCCACGGCAGGUCAGCAUGCCCCGAAACCCCCGGGCCACACGCGGCAUGCAAUGGUGGGGACAAUGGGUUCCGACCCCGAAAGGGGGAGGCAAUCCCAUAAACCCCACCUCAGUUGGGAUUGAGGGCUGCAACUCGCCCUCACGAACAUGGAAUCCCUAGUAACCGCGCGUCACCAUCGCGCGGUGAUACG
rnacentral:rRNA from 1 species